rnacentral:lncRNA from 1 species
AUGCUAUGCCCCUGCUAUGCCCCUGCUAUGCCCCUGCUAUGUCCCUGCUAUGUCCCUGCUAUGUCCAUGCCAUGUCCCUGCUAUGCCCCUGCUAUGCCCCUGCUAUGUCCCUGCUAUGCCCUGCUAUGUCCCUGCUAUGUCCCUGCUAUGUCCCUGCUAUGCCCCUGCUAUGUCCCUGCUAUGCCCCUGCUAUGUCCCUGCUAUGUCCCCUGCUAUGUCCCUGCUAUGCCCCUGCUAUGUCCCUGCUAUGUCCCAUGCUAUGUCCCUGCUAUGUCCCUGCUAUGCCCCUGCUAUGUCCCUGCUAUGCCCCUGCUAUGUCCCUGCUAUGUCCUGCUAUGUCCCUGCUAUGUCCCUGCUAUGCCCCUGCUAUGUCCAUGCUAUGUCCCUGCUAUGUCCCUAUCUAUGUCCAUGCUAUGCCCAUGCUAUGUCCAUGCUAUGCCCCUGCUAUGUCCCUGCUAUGUCCCUGCUAUGCCCUGCUAUGUCCCUGCUAUGUCCCUGCUAUUCCCUGCUAUGCCCCUGCUAUGUCCCUGCUAUGCCCUGCUAUGUCCCUGCUAUGUCCCUGCUAUGUCCCUGCUAUGUCCCUGCUAUGUCCCUGCUAUGUCCCUGCUAUGCCCCUGCUAUGUCCCUGCUAUGUCCCUGCUAUGCCCCUGCUAUGUCCCUGCUAUGUCCCUGCUAUGCCCCUGCUAUGUCCCUGCUAUGUCCAUGCUAUGCCCCUGCUAUGUCCCUGCUAUGCCCAUGCUAUGCCCCUGCUAUGCCCCUGCUAUGUCCCUGCUAUGUCCAUGCUAUGUCCCUGCUAUGUCCCCUGCUAUGUCCCUGCUAUGUCCUGCUAUGUCCCUGCUAUGCCCCUGCUAUGUCCCUGCUAUGCCCCUGCUAUGCCCCUGCUAUGUCCCUGCUAUGUCCCUGCUAUGUCCAUGCUAUGUCCCUGCUAUGCCCAUGCUAUGCCCCUGCUAUGCCCCUGCUAUGUCCCUGCUAUGUCCCUGCUAUGUCCCUGCUAUGCCCCUGCUAUGUCCCUGCUAUGUCCCUGCUAUGCCCCUGCUAUGUCCCUGCUAUGUCCCUGCUAUGCCCCUGCUAUGCCCCUGCUAUGUCCCUGCUAUGUCCAUGCUAUGUCCCUGCUAUGCCCCUGCUAUGUCCCUGCUAUGUCCCUGCUAUGCCCCUGCUAUGCCCCUGCUAUGUCCCUGCUAUGUCCUUGCUAUGUCCAUGCCAUGUCCCUGCUAUGCCCCUGCUAUGUCCAUGCUAUGUCCCUGCUAUGUCCCUAUUAUGUCCAUGCUAUGUCCCUGCUAUGCCCCUGCUAUGUCCCUGCUAUGUCCCUGCUAUGCCCCUGCUAUGCCCCUGUUGUCCCUGCUAUGUCCAUGCUAUGCCCCUGCUAUGCCCCUGCUAUGUCCAUGCUAUGUCCCUGCUAUGCCCAUGCUAAACCCCUGCUAUAUUCAUGCUACGCCCAUGCUAUGCCUCAUGCUAUACCACUGCUAUGCUAGCUACAACCAUUGCUUGCUUUCAGUCUGA